rnacentral:lncRNA from 1 species
GUCUGUCACUACGUGAGAUGUGCUUUUCUCCUUCCACCAUGAUGUGGGGCCUCCCCAGCCACAUUGAAAUGCAUUUAUGAAGUAGGGACCUGGAAUUGAAUAGACUCCUAAAGGAGAGACAGAAGUUUGAAAGAGCAAGAUGAGUGGAUGUGAAUCCAGACAUAAAAAGAGAACAGCAAAUAUUUGAAAGAGUUUAAGACAUACUCCUCAAGGUUGAAGAACUCACUUUGGCAUUUCUUGUAAGAUGGUUCUGGUGGUACCACAGAUAGAAGCCUCGAGAAGCUUACUUUGGUGAGAAAUUUUGCCUUUCUCUGCAGGCUUCUACCAGUUCGAUUCCAUCUGUGGGUCUUAGUUUUCAGUUACCUGCAGUCAAAUGUGGUCCAAUAUACAGACUGGAAUAAGAGACACUGGAGACUCCAAAAGAAUAUUUUCUGGUAGACUGAUACAUUUCUCCUAAAAAAUUUG